rnacentral:lncRNA from 1 species
AUAGUUGUGCUUGAAGAGUCGGGAAAGAGCAACAACCCAAGCCAUUUUUGCCUAGCGAUCUACGCUACAACUCGCUUUAAACUACUGUUAUCCACCUUCCUCCCAUUACCGAAAUAACCAUCAAUCCCGACUGGAGACGUAGGCAUAUAUGGAGAUAUGUCGACGGCCUAGCGGCCAUCGUCGGUAUAGGAAGGCAGUCGACAUAGCUAGGUCUAUGCCUACAACCCCCAUCGGCAUACACUGGGUGUCGGCAUACCUUGUCUGUGCCGACAGUUCCCGUCGGCAUACAUAUGGACCUGAUGUACCACUCUCGGAUUAUGGCUUGACACGGUUAAAUAUAUGUUGACGACCCUGACGACGACCGUCGGUAUAGAUUGCUUGUCAAGUGGUAGCUCCUGUACGGUUGUACGGACGCAGUCGGCAUAGCACGGCUCGGCCUGGAUACGUCGAUGUACACGUUGCCGACGGCCGGUUAUCCCGACGGGGUUUGCCCCUAAGCCGCCGACGGUGAACCGUCGGCAUAGAAUCUUAUUUCGAUAGGGUCCACUCACGACAAUGGUCCCUAGCCUUCUACUCCCCCAUUACUAAAUACAAGUCUUUUUAGAGAUUUCAUUAUGGAUUACACAUGAAGUACUCCCUCCGUUCCUUUAUAUAAGGUGUAUUUGUUUUUUGAUAAAAUUCCAUAAUGUAAGGUGCAUUUCUUCUAAUUCUUUGUAAUUCCAUCAUUAGUCAUUCAAAAAAAGUAAAGUAUCUCUCCCCUGAUUGCAUGUAUCUCUUAUUAUAAAAACAAAAAGGAAAGAAUCUCUCUC